rnacentral:rRNA from 1 species
ACUCCUACGGGAGGCAGCAGUGGGGAAUAUUGCACAAUGGGCGCAAGCCUGAUGCAGCCAUGCCGCGUGUAUGAAGAAGGCCUUCGGGUUGUAAAGUACUUUCAGCGGGGAGGAAGGCGAUAAGGUUAAUAACCUUGUCGAUUGACGUUACCCGCAGAAGAAGCACCGGCUAACUCCGUGCCAGCAGCCGCGGUAAUACGGAGGGUGCAAGCGUUAAUCGGAAUUACUGGGCGUAAAGCGCACGCAGGCGGUCUGUCAAGUCGGAUGUGAAAUCCCCGGGCUCAACCUGGGAACUGCAUUCGAAACUGGCAGGCUAGAGUCUUGUAGAGGGGGGUAGAAUUCCAGGUGUAGCGGUGAAAUGCGUAGAGAUCUGGAGGAAUACCGGUGGCGAAGGCGGCCCCCUGGACAAAGACUGACGCUCAGGUGCGAAAGCGUGGGGAGCAAACAGGAUUAGAUACCCCUGUAGUCCCA